AAUUUGCCAGGUUGGAAUCCUAAGACUUCGCUCUUCGACCUGAUGGAAUCCACUCUGACCUAUCAGCACAGGACAUAUGCUAAAGCCAUCAAGAAAGUAAUUGCAAAACCCGUUGCAAGUUAAGCUUUUACAGGGAUGGUGAUUUGCUAUCUUGGAGAAGGGUGUCGUUGCGUAAGUUUCUGCCAUAUUUCACUGGUUGAUUUUAUAUAAAUGGUAAAUUUUCUUCCUUUUGGUUUCCUUAGCCAGCAGUAGGCAAUAGCUCACAUAAGUCAUUGUCUUAAUGUAUGUUUUGGAGAAGUAGGAAUUUAUAUAUAGGGAAAUCUAUGUUGUUGUGUAAUUUUAAUGUAUACUUUGCGUUACUAAACAUCUUGAGGCAUUUUAUAAUAUUAGAGAAGAUGUUUUUUAUGUGUUUCUAGGGAUCUCUCCAACAUUGUUUUGUUGUCUUUCCGGGUCAGCUGUAAAUUGUAUCAUUCUGUAUUGAUCCUCUUAAGAGCCAUGUCUUCUUAAUAUUAAUUUUAUUUUAUGUUUUUUUAGUGGUAUAGUUUUAAAUCUUGCUCCAGUUUAUCUUUGUUUAAAUUAAACUAUCUUUUCCCUUCNUUGUCAUACUUAUGUUCUUAUUGUCAAAUAUUUGCAUUGGAUUUUUUUUUCGUAUGCAGUGUAGAAAAUUCGAAACUUUGGUUUGGUAUGCUUUGGGAAUGUAAUAUUCCUCACAAUGUUCUGAAUGCUAGUCCCAAGGUUUGUGAAAUUAUAUUGUUGGUAUCUUUAAAACCCUAAUUCCUCUUUUUUUAGCCAUUAUGUUCCCUCACCUUCUUUGGUUGUUGUUGUUUGAAUCUUUGGUGNUAAGCAGAGCAUUGGCGUGAAUAAUUGAGAAGUUCAUGGAUUUUUUAUUAUGUUUUUUCCCUCUAUUCUGUCUCAUGAUUGCUUGGAGCAACCAUUAGCUUUUUCUUUGUCCAACCAACUCCGAAAGCCUAAUUCUUUGGCUACUCAGCUGAUGGAUAUAUUUUCUACUGUGAUGAAGCAUGAUAAUCUAUGGUGAAUUUUAUUUGAUUGGAAAUUGUUAUUCUCAAAGGAUGAAAGCUUCUUAGUCAUAAUUUCAAUCGUUUAAUUAAUUAGAUUAUGCGUUUUAUCUACUUUGCAUUAUCAUGUAUUACUCAGUUCUUGAAGUAUGUUCUUUCUUCCUGCCAAAUACUGGUCAACUAUGAAUUAAAUUACAAUUGAUUGGAAGUAAUUGGGGUNCUUUUAUUUCUAUCGACAGAGGGUUUAAUAGUAGUGGUUGCAAGUAAUUGAGGUGCUUUUAUUUGAAUAUGUACUACUUCUCUGAUAAGUUUAAUUAGGGAGCAUUUUAUUUCAAUCUUAAUCAUAUGGGUAUUGAAGUAUGUACCUUUACUUGUUCAUUGUGCUGCUUUUCAGUAUUCUAACCUUUACUUUUUCAUUAUGCCGACUAUAUUUGAAAGGGAUAUGUUUGAAAGGUAAGUNUGAAGAUGAUAAGGUAAUGGCAUCAUUGUCCUUUUUUAAAAUUUAUAAUUAUUUUAAUUUUGCUCCUAGUUUUUGGUAUGCCGCUGCAAUUAAAUUCAACUCCUUAUUUUAAUUUUGCUNCUAGUGUAAAUAUAGUUGUAUAUUAAAUACUCUUGUAAAUAAAUUUAUUUUUAAAAGAAAAUUUAAAUGNGUAAUAUUAAAAUAUAAUUUUAGAGAUUAAUUUUGUAAAGAUAACUUUUAUUUUAGAACUAUAAAUAAAAUAUAAAAUUAUAUAAAAUCAAACUUUAAAUUUUUUUUAAAUAAUUAACAUUUUGUUUAAUAAUUUUAGAAAUUCUCAUUCAUGGAUUUUAAACUAUGAUUUUGCUAUCCAUUUCAUCAUAAAGAAAUAAUUAAAUACAAUUAAACACCCGCUUUCCUGAAUGUAUUUUUUUUACUGUGUGUCUGACUUACUGUUUAGGACAAUUAUUUUUCAUAUCUUAUUGGUAAUAUGAUUUUUGGUGAUAAAGUUUACUUGUCAGUAGGUAUCAAACAAAAAAAAAGACUAAGGGUUUGAUGAUAAUGGGAUCGCUCCCAGUUCGGUUCCUAACCUUUGUCCACCAUCCCUCAAGCAUAUGAAGUUGUCAUGGAGGAUGGAAAGUUUUUCUACAAGCAAUCAAGAGAACUCCUAACACCAUUGCAACAUACGAGAUCAAUUUGAUUCAAACUAAGAGACAAGAUAAAGAAUCCUUUAAUUUGCUUUGUUCUUAUUGUAAUUAUUAGUAUUAGAAACAUCCAGACUUUAGUUAUUACUAUGUUUGAGUAAUCGGAUAUUUGAAUUUUAUAGUAUGUGAACUUUAUGUGUGAAAUUAUUAAUCUGAGUUUCUUGGGUUUUGUGGCAAUAUNGAAAAACUUGAUUGCACUUUCCUUGGGUGGGUGNUUGUUAU
rnacentral:lncRNA from 1 species